rnacentral:rRNA from 1 species
UACGUAGGCAGCGAGCGUUGUUCGGAGUUACUGGGCGUAAAGGGUGUGUAGGCGGUUGUUUUAAGUUUGGUGUGAAAUCUCCCGGCUCAACUGGGAGGGUGCGCCGAAUACUGAAUGACUUCGAGUGCGGGAGAGGAGAGUGGAAUUCCUGGUGUAGCGGUGAAAUGCGUAGAUAUCAGGAGGAACACCGGUGGUGUAGACGGCUUACUGGACCAUUUCUGACGCUGAGACACGAAAGCGUGGGUAGCAAACAGG